AUGGCUGUCGUCAGCUCGUGUCGUGAGAUGUUGGGUUAAGUCCCGCAACGAGCGCAACCCUCGUUCUAUGUUGCCAGCACGUGAUGGUGGGGACUCAUAGGAGACUGCCGGGGUCAACUCGGAGGAAGGUGGGGACGACGUCAAAUCAUCAUGCCCCUUAUGUCUUGGGCUUCACGCAUGCUACAAUGGCCAGUACAAAGGGCUGCGAGACCGUAAGGUGGAGCGAAUCCCAAAAAGCUGGUCUCAGUUCGGAUCGGGGUCUGCAACUCGACCCCGUGAAGUCGGAGUCGCUAGUAAUCGCAGAUCAGCAACGCUGCGGUGAAUACGUUCCCGGGCCUUGUACACACCGCCCGUCACGUCAUGAAAGUCGGUAACACCCGAAGCCGGUGGCCCAACCCUUGUGGAGGGAGCCGUCGAAGGUGGGACUGGCGAUUAGGACGAAGUCGUAACAAGGUAGCCGUACCGGAAGGUGCGGCUGGAUCACCUCCUUUCUAAGGAGCACUCAAGAUCAUUCACCGUUUUCGGUGGGUGGUUUUCAGAUAGCCAUAGCUCACGCGACGCCUGGUGGAAUUCUUCUGCUGGGGUUUGUUGUGGGGUGGUUGCUCAAGGGUGGAACAUCGAUUAGUUGGCUGCCGUGCAUUGUGGUGCUUGUCUAGUACGACCUGGGCUUCCUUCGGGGGGUUCGUGGUGGGAACGGGAGGUGCUGGGUGUGGGGUGGCUUGGACACGCUGUUGGGUCCUGAGGGAGCGGGCACAUGUUGGUGUGUGCGUGUUGCUUCACGGGCCGGCCUCGCGUUGGUGGGGUUGGUGUUGGGAUUCUGCCUUGCGGUCGUACCGCCUGGGGUGCUCUGAGGUUGGGGUGUUGUGGGUUGGCGUCGUGUGUGGGUGGGUUCUGCCCGUUGCUUGAGAACUGUACAGUGGACGCGAGCAUCUUUGUUUCUGUGUGAUUUGUGUUUUGUUGGGUGUUGUUGUGUGCAAGUUUUUAAGGGCGCACGGUGGAUGCCUUGGCACCAGGAGCCGAUGAAGGACGUAGGAGCCUGCGAUAAGCCUCGAGGAGCUGGCAACCGAGCUGUGAUUCGAGGAUUUCCGAAUGGGGAAACCCGG
rnacentral:sRNA from 1 species